CAAGGCAUAGCUUAACACAAAGCAUCUGGCUUACACCCAGAAGAUCUCAAUACUAUUCGAUUGCCUUGA
ensembl:Mt_tRNA